UUGAAAAGUAAAACAAGACUGAAGUUUGAAUGGAAACACAAAGGCUUAUUCAUGCAACACAAAGGCUUUUGUGCCAUGAUGUCAGAGCAAAGAAUGAUGGAUGAUGAAAUCAGAAGGUGCACAAAGAAAGAAAACAGAGGUGAACAGGUGGAUCAAAACAGAAGAGUGACUCAAGCGGCAGUAAAUCACCUUCCAAUCUCCAAGAAUACAGCACAUUAUAUGAGAAUUUCUGAUGGAUAUAUGAGACCGUGUCAUAUUUCAACCAUCGAGCAAGAAGAAGCAGAUUCAUAAUUCGUGUUGGUGUUGAAAGGUAUUGGGAAAAGGUGAAGUGGGGACAGUGGGAAGGAAAAACCUCAAGAAGAAGAAACCUCCAGCAGAACAGGUUGGGGUUGAGGCAGCGCAUUAUGAAUAAUACGCAAUAUUGGAAAUUUCAUGACAACCACUUCAAUAAAACUAAAAAUCAUAUAAUAAAUCAUCCAGCCUAUAAAAGCCCAGACCUCCCCCUCUGCACCUCCUCCAGCUUAUCCAGGGAAACAUCAGUCUGAUUCCAGGUCUCUCUCCAGCAUGUGGUGGGUCGACCCUGGAGCCUCCUCCCAGUAGGACAUGCCCGGCUGGAACACCCCGCCCAGGAGGUGACAGCCUCAGCUGGCUCUUUUUGAUGCAGAGGAGUAGCAGUUCUACCCUGAGCCCUUUAUAAAUGAUGAACUCUCACCCUGUCACUAAGGGAGAGCUCAGCUCAUCCACCCGUCUGAGAAAGAAGCUUGUAUCUGUGAACUCAUUCUAUUAGUGAAAACACUAAGACAUGGACCCUCAUGCAAUCCACUGAGUUUGUUUCUGACAGCUUGGUCCAAAAUAUACACAAGUAGCCCACUAGAGGUCAUUUUGCAGUGGCAGUGGAUGUUAUGUUCCUCCUUGCACAAAGGAGCAGACAGUGGCAUCGUGGCUGGCUCGAUGCUCUUCCACAGCCACGUCCCGCUCUCCUUCUGUUACGGCCCGUCUCGUGACACUUUGUUGGGAAACACGGCACACUUUGGGUAACUUUGGUUUAAUUGCUCUUUGGGUCUUUAGAAGCCAUUUGGCUCAGACAAUUUUCAUUUGUAUAACAAAGUUUUAUAAACUAAACAGAAUUUCAGCUUUUUUGCAGUAUUAUUAUUUCAUUCUUGUCUUUCCCCCAUGCUUUGGCAUUAAAACAAUAAGCUGAGGAAGUCAUGAAGUAAUUAUUUUGAUAACUGUUUAGGACAAAUCCAUCCAACUAACCAAUCAUGUUCUACCACUUACUGUUUCUUCCACCCUUUCAGGUAGGUGGACACUCACGCGUUCCCAAAGCUGCUGAUUUCUCCAGCAAAAAAAUAUCUAAACAAAUACAUAAAAGCCUGUUAUCACUUUCCUGAAUGGGAUUUUUUUUACUUUUCCUGUUAUUUUCUCAUGAUAAACUAAACUGCUGCAACUGUGCACAUAAAAAAAUCCAUAACCAACUUAAAUUCAGCUGAUCUCUGGAUUUGUCCACGAGGACUUCUCGACUGCUUCCAGCAAGGCUGAUAUUUUCAGAUCCAAGCACCUUUUGAUUUUGGGUUUAACUCUCGAGUUUGGCGUCCAUGUUGAAGUUGCAAAGCUCCCACACCAGUGGUUACAAGAGAGCUUCCAGGGAGCGAUCUAACGAUAGCCAAAGUGAUGUAAGCGGUCCAGAGGUGCAUUUAAAUCAGGUAUUUCUUUUUUAUCUUCACUGAGUGAAACUGCAGAACUGUGACAGCAUCUAAGCUUUUUCCAAAAGAAAGUUCUUAUAUUUAUUGAUUUUUUAAAACCCUUUUUUUUAUUUCAUGAAAUUUAAAUUCAUGACAGAUUGUUCUCAGAAUUUUUUAGUUUUAAGUGAAGCAAUAGAAAAUGUUGAAUGAGGAGGUUCUUUAGGGUGUAAAACACCCAAAUAUUGUUUUUAUUUAUUUUCCUUCUGACACAAAUGAAUGGAUAUCUCACUGUUUCUGUAUCCAGCGAUACUGGUUCCAGCUGGACGGCCUUUUUUAAAUUCAUGUUUAAUAAAACACGCUAUUAUUUUUUUUACAGCCAACACUGUUAGUUGGCUAGAUAAAAAAAACUUUUAGUAAUAUCUCUGAGUAAUUGUAUUUGACAUAUUUUCAUUUGUCUGCUUUUGAUGGAUGA